UGUUCCCUCGCGCCCUGCUGCUGUCACCAGAGCGCCAAACCCGGCACCGCCCUCUGCUCCCUGGGAGGAGCCGCAGCCGCCACGAGGCCUCCCCUCGGCCUGCUCCGCUCUGGGCCGAACAAACGCAGGGAUCUCCAACAAUCCUUCACCUUCCUGACCUUUCACAGUCCUCCUCUGGGCGCUCACUCUUGGUUUUGUUUGAUUUACCCUGCGGUGUUCAAAACCACAUACAGCGAUCGAGGUGAGGAUGCACCAGCACAGAGUGGGACAACAGCACUGAAAACAUUUCCAUUAUUCCUUUCACUUGUUUCACCACAGCCUCUCUUCUCCAGCACUUCUGUACGUUUCCAUGAAGAAAUUUAACAAUGGGAACAUGAACUCACAAAAACAAAGAAAAACAAAAAAUAAUUCUGAACAGAUCAUGUGGGAUUACAGCCUGCAAUUGCAGAGGCUGUAGGCUGUGCAAUAUCAGUGACAUUUGCUCUCCCUCUGCCUUCAAUUCCUGUUCUUCAGCUACAACUCAGUAGCAGUUUUUCAGUGAACACUGCUGGAUAUUACAAGCGGGUAAAUCAGUGCAGGAACUCCUGUGAGUUUAAGUUGAAAAAAACCAAAAACAUCCAGAAAUUUAAAUAAUAUAUAAUUGCAAAUACAAGUGCCAAGACUGUGAUGUAUUGCACUAACUGUUUAUCUCCUGUGGAGAAUUACUUCAGGUUUACUGAUGCAGAAGCUUUCCACACAUUUAAGUCUACCACUGACAUUUAUCCAGAAGUGCUAAAAGACAAUCAGGAAUAGAACCAAAACAGGAAUUAUAACCAUUGCUGGUGUCUCACACGUACCAGCAGCUCACUCUUGCUCUGCAAUAGUCAGCAAGCAUCUCCACAUAGUUUGAAAAUCAGCACUACCCUUGAAUAUGGGUAGUAUUGAGAGGCAGACUUCCAAGCCCAAUAUUUCUGAUUGGAACUAACGUGAAAUUAAUUUGCUCUUUGUGUAACACUCAGAGGAACACAGCUUAGUAGCAGUUCUACAGAAAACACCAUCGUACAGCCCAUCCAGCAACUCUUGGUUUGCACCAACUCAAAAAAAAAAAAAAUGACAUGCCAGAAGCCCUAUAGAAACAGUGGCACUCUAUCACUGGAACAUACCAUCACAUAUUAUUGAACUCAUAAACACUCCCACAGUUUCUGUGACAGAAUUUCAAGACAAAAUUUCACACAGAGCAAUACAUCUCAACCGUUUUCCCAAGCAUAGAAAGAGUUCUUUUAUGUUCUGCUCACACCGGAGCCAAAUUGGUUCCGAAUGGCUCUCAGCAAUACCAGGCAAGCACUCGCCAGGCAGGCCAAUAGUCAUAGACAGAAAGAAGCACUGAACUCACCCAACUGGUGAUGGGGAUCUCUGCCACACAGCACUUCCCCAGAAAGCAGCCAAAGUCCACGGGAUGCUCUCCUCUCAGUGGCUGGCCAUUAUAUGAGCCAUGGGGUGCUACAACCUGGACCUACCCCUUCAUGUCACAUGGGAACCACAGGUGCAAACCACCUGCCUCUUCUCCCUGGGCCAGUCACACUGCUUCACCAGCUGCUCAAUCACCCCUUCCAGCCAUUACCUAACACUUCACCUACAUUGUAUGACUUUUGUAUGAUUUUUGAUCAGUUAAAUAGUUAAAUUCAAACACACAUGCAGUUAGAGAUGAACUAGUUGGUUUCUUUUGCAUUCACUUUUUUCUAUUUUAAAGUCACAAAAGCAUUGAAAAUCUAGGAUCCCUUUUCUACUGGCACACCACUACGAAGAGCAACCAACAGGCACACCACUUCUCUUGAGUAAGCUAUGAACUGCGUGAACAUCAGGAAAGAUACUUUACAAACAUUUGGAUAAAAAUAACAGCUACAGAAUAAAAUUACCUUGACAAGUAUAAUUCCGAUUCCAGCCUCAGUUGGAAAUCUGUCCCAUGAUUUCCUGAUUGUUUAUUUCCAGCAAAAGGCCAUCUCAAGAAGAACCUUCAAGCUACACAGAUUAAUUAGAGUUCAAUCCACCUGGCAAUCCAUUGGUUCUUAGUAGACACUGAAACAACCGUACGGGUUCUGGGACCAUGGAAGGCUCUUCCUGCAGGUCUCCAAACAUCCCAGUGGCUCACACCAAACAAUAUGAAGACAAGACAUUGAACUCGAGCCCUCUCAGGAUACACAAUUAAAUAGGUACUGAAAGAAGCUCUAAAACAUUUAGAAGAAGAAAAGCAGCAACAUGACCAAGCUCACUGCAGAGACACAAACAGGUGCUGCAGAGGCCUACAAAUGGAAUUUGCCUUAUUGUGCCACAGCACUAUUUGAUCAGGGACACUGUCCUACGUCAGCUCUAUUGCCUCCUGUCUACAUUGAGGUACCAGAAGUUACCACACUUGUGGGAAGUGGAAACUACAAAACACUUAACAAGAACCCAACACAACAAACCAAAGAAUCAAGCUAGAAACAUACAGGAAAGGCUUUGGGAAUAAAAGGUACCAGAGGUACCUAAUGCUUCAGUGCUGCAUUAUUGUGUCAAAUAAACAUCUUCAAAAAGCAUUUUGUCAGUCUGAUUUUUAUCAAAGUAUCUAAUUGGAAAUAUUUUACCUCCUUGGAAUUGUAGAUUUUUGUAGAUGCUGCAAACCUACAAUUUUUCUGUGAAAAAUAGAGAAUUUUAACAUCUUAAGUUCAAAAGGGUUAUGUACUUUCCAGUAAGGAAGAACUACAUAAAGGUAAAAGAUUACAUUGCUAAUAUAAACAUGCAAAGUUACCAAACAAAGCAAAGAUCAAUUGCCUCAGUGAGCAUACAUCUAAA